ensembl:lincRNA
GUUAGUCCAUAGAGACUAAAAGUGCCAAUCAUUCCUCGGCCCUGUGAACGUCUCUUUUUGACUCCUCUCCAAGGCACAGGAUCUUUACCUUGGGAUUGCUCUGUAAGCUUGGAUUGCUUCUCCCAUCCCCAGGACCAGCUUCACCAGCGGAAAUGCAACAGAGGGGAUGCAGGUCCUGAGCACUGCCAAAAAGUGAACCUUCCUAUGCCUUUGGACCAAAUUGGACUACAACUAUAAUAUAUAUCUUGUGAAUGCCGACAUUACCUUGAUUUGAUAAGUUGGAUCUGCCGUUGACAUCGUAUCUGAAGCAACGAUGCAGUGACCCUGAGAUUAGGGGCAAGGGUGUAGAAUUGUGCUGAGGCACCAGCAUACAAUGGACUUUUCAAAAGGUACAGCUCUCAUCAAGUCAGCGCUUGAAUGAAACAUUGUGACCUCAGCUUGUAAUGUCUUUACUUUUCUCUUUUUUUUUCAUCAAAAACGUUAUUUCUCAGGAAUAUGUUUUAUCUGAAAGCUAACAUUCGUUACCUGAAGUAACAUUGAGGCAGGACGCAACUUAAGAUUGGAGGUGUUGUAUCUCCAAAUGCAUGCCGUGGCAAUUUUCUAUGUUUGUUUGUUUAUGAAAAGACUUAUUAUCCUUCCAGUCUAAUUAUGUCUUUUGGAUCGCGUUUUGGGGGUUCUGCUGGUUCGGAAAUCUGCAAGUGAAAAAGGUGCGCGUCUUGUGCUGCUGUUGAACGAAGAACACAUCUUGCAGGACUGUCCCGUUGGCAUACACAUGGCCAUCAGCAUGUUUUUUUUUUCAAAAAUUUGCCAAAAAACAUUUUUAUUUGCCUUUGCAGACCCCCAGCAUUGCCAAUGGGGUGCGUAAGCAUACGGCCUUUUUGAUGGAGAACAACGUUCGAAGAGAGUCUUCUGAGAUUUGUGAUGAACGACCUGAUACUACUCAAAGAACUGGCAGCUCUCAGUGUUUGCUUUCAAGCUUCCCCCAGUUGACUGCGUGGGUCAAUGGAAUGCAGAAGUCGUCACAGUUACAGCCUGCAUCGUCAGAAAGUCAUCAUCAAGCCAAAGCCUGGACCACAGGACGAUGCUGGCCAACUUCAAAUCUUGUCGGUCCAUCCGGCUCGAAUCCUCGUGCAGACCACCUGUCACAGGCGCCAGGUCCCUCCACCAAAGGAUACCUUUCCAACGAACAUCAUACCUUAUUUUCAGGCUCACAGCCUUCACAACCUCUGCCUGGGCCUCCUUCCUCCGGCUUAGGAAUAUCAAAAGAGCUUUCCUUGUCUGCCGUCUCUGGGCGGAGAUCCUGGCAGCACGACAGGCCAUUGCCUUCACCCACAGUCCAGCACGUUCUUCCAGCAGACAAUUGCUUACCAACAAAAUGCAAAGCUGAUGAUAUCUCCACAUGCUCCCAAUUCCAAGUUUUUCCAGGGGCUGCAGUUCACCGGCAAAAGCCAUCGGUCGACGAUAAUACGCAGCUUCCAUCUUCUCGUCUUGGAAAGCCCCAGCCGACACAACUAUUCUCACCGGCAAGUGACUCUGAUCCAAGAGUCGGUUCUCACACUGUUCCCCCUGUACACCGCAUUGUGCUCUCACCACAAAUGGACAAACAAACCACAGAAUCCUCACAACUCAGGAAUCUGUUAGCAGAACGCUGGCAGGCUGCCCUGCAGGCCAAACAUCCUGCGCGAUCAUCUGGGCACCCACCUACGUCAAAGCCUCC